UACGUAGGGUGCAGGCGUUAAUCGGAAUUACUGGGCGUAAAGCGUGCGCAGGCGGUUUGCUAAGACAGGUGUGAAAUCCCCGGGCUUAACCUGGGAACUGCGCUUGUUACUGGCAAGCUGGAGUGUGGCAGAGGGGGGUGGAAUUCCGCGUGUAGCAGUGAAAUGCGUAGAGAUGCGGAGGAACACCGAUGGCGAAGGCAGCUCGCUGGAACGGUACUGACGCUGAGGCGCGAAAGCCAGGGGAGCGAACGGG
rnacentral:rRNA from 1 species